GGAUGCCGAUGACGAUGAUGAUGAUGAUGACGAUGAUGACGAAACGACCUCUUCCACAUCUUCCACUUCAUCAUCCUCAUCGAGUUCU
rnacentral:miRNA from 1 species